rnacentral:rRNA from 1 species
UACGUGGGGGGCAAGCGUUGUUCGGAAUUACUGGGCGUAAAGGGCUCGUAGGCGGCCCACUAAGUCGGACGUGAAAUCCCUCGGCUUAACCGGGGAACUGCGUCCGAUACUGGAUGGCUUGAGUUCGGGAGAGGGAUGCGGAAUUCCAGGUGUAGCGGUGAAAUGCGUAGAUAUCUGGAGGAACACCGGUGGCGAAGGCGGCAUCCUGGACCGACACUGACGCUGAGGAGCGAAAGCCAGGGGAGCGAACGGG